UCAACUGCUAGCUCUCAUUUUUGCCUUGGAAGCGCUCAUGAUCACGCAGCAGCGAUUCCGAAGCCAUGGCGGUGACGAUUAACUCGGGGAGAAUGGCAAGCCAACUACCCAUAUCACGUGCAGAGGGGUGGAGAAAAAGAGGUGAAGAGUCAAUAGAGAGAGAGAGAGAGAGAGAGAGAGGAAGAAGGAAGGGUGCACGCAUUCGUGGUCACCUCUCAGGACAGCCCAGCUGUAGGAUGGGUGCCUGCCGCUCUGUCUUGUCUUUUAUUACGUCCAUUUCCACAGACACCUCUUUCUCUCUCUCUCUCUUUAUGCUGCUGCUGCUUCUAUCUUCUUCACUGCACCCCACUAUUCCCUGUAGCCUUCGAGCACUUCCUCAGUAAUCAUUUCCUUCAUCAUGGCCUCCUAUCUCAUGUCAUCCCUCCGAUCGAUCCCCCUUGAAAGAAGCAGGAAGUCUUGGGGGAGAAGAGGAUACAAGACGAGGGAAGUCGAGCAAAGGAGACAGUCAUGAAACGGAGGAGGAGGAGGAAAAGGAAGCUUUUAAUCUUUGAGGGGAAUGUUGUCUGGCUCGAGGCCAUCAUCGAUCGUUUCUUUCGCAGAUCCAUGUGAAGGUCUCGGACCAGGCUUCAUUCCCCCCAGUCAGAGCUUCCAUUUCUUCGGUGUCGGACUUGGUUCUGCCUCUACGUUCCUGCUCUUGUUUUGGGCUUCCUGUGUUGGUUUCGCAAGGAUGAGCUGAUGGGGGGAUUAUAUAUGACUCUUUCUUUUUCCUUGCAGAUCUGCAUGCUUAGUCUUCUUGUUAAUUUGCUGAAGUAGAUAGUCUUCUUCAAGCCUUACUUGUGCUUUUUGACUUGUUUGUUUGCUGUUAAUGGAGUCUUUUAGACCUUCUCUUCUGAUGCUUGUAAUUGAGUCUGAGAAAGUUCAUCAGCGUGCAACCUAUAAAUACCCUACAGGUCUUUCUGCAAUCGGCAUGGUCAGGAGUUACCAUUGCAUGAGCUGGUGAUCAAAUUGUAUGCUUCAUGAUCUCCAAGGAAGGGAAUUCAACAUGAAGAGAUUUACUUGAUACGACCAAUCCAACCAAAUUAAUGAAAGCAUAUGGAAGUGUCAGACAAUGCUGUGUAAACAUAGGGUCUAAUUUCCAACCACAUGUCAGCAGAUGUUUCUUCUUCUUGCACCUGUAGAUCCUAAAUCCACUUCAAACUUCAUGGUCACACUGCCCAUCACAUUUUUAUCUUCUUCUUCUUCUUCUUCUUCUUCUCACCAGCUGCUGCAUUUUGUACAUUAUGCUCUUCCCAUUUGUAUGUGUGUCUUCUUGGAAGUGGUGGUUAAAAUUGCUGGACAUGAGCUUAGAUUUUCCUGCAUUUGAAGCUUCCAAUUGUCAA